CUGUGGGUCUCCUUUUAUUAUUAUUUUCUCUUAGCUUUUAAUUAGUCUCUUCUUAACUGCUCCGCAUGACAAAACAUCACUCUUUCCAACCCAGGGGGAAAAUACUGAGGUUCCUGUUUGACUAUCCCAGUGCUUUUCUGACAGCUGAAUGUACUGCUAACUUUGACUUUUUUUUUUUUUUCCUCUUUGGAGCUCUUCUUCUGUGAAGCCCUUCAAGCCCUUCAGUGACAUGGCAGGGACAUUGUUUUUCUUGGGCAACUGAGACAUUGCUUGCAGCAGGUGAGGAUGAGUUGGUGGUGUUGCAGCCAAUAGCAACCUGUGUGUAGUAGUAAUUCCACCAACUUUGGGGGUCUCUCAGUCAGAGGAUGUCCUUCCUUGAUACUUAAGAAAAGAGGACGUGAAGCUGAUCUCUGGAAGAGAAGUAAGGAAGAAGACUCCUGAGCUGGUGUUAAACCCCAGGAAAAUCAAAAGGAGUUACGUGGAAUGGACUUUGUCCCACUGAGCCUUGCUGUCUGCUCUCACAUUGCCGUGGAGGAUAAGGGUUGACAACAAAACAUCAGCUUUCCUGACUUCUGGAAUUAACCUCUAAUACAUAUUAGCAGCAGCCUUUCAAGUAGUUUUUGCAUACACAGGCUUUCGGUAACGUGACCACGCAGGGGUGUGCUCUGACACCAUCUAGAGGUGAGCUCCUUGGUGUUAGGUGUGCAGUGCUAACGAGAUGUCACAAGCAGCUGCUCAUCACUUGGAAAACAUCUGCUGCUCAGGUAGCAGGUCUGUUGUCAUCCUAGGCAUGUGAGGGCCUGAAUCCCCAGCAUCUACAGGAGUGCAGGUCAUAUAAGAAGGGAAAACAGUGCUGCACCUUUAAUGUAGUUUUAAUACAUAUUCAAUGUCCCUUCAAUUACUGCCUGAGUAAUUAGUGUGGAUGCAAAUCAAAUGUGGAACAACAGAAUGAUUUUUCGGGCUUCCUCAGGGGACUGGACUUUGGAAGUAGUAGCACUGUGUUGUAUUUCAUGCAACUUUGUAAAGAGAGGAAAGGAGAGAGCUGAGAAUAGCAGGCAGUGGAAUCCUUCCAAACAUGCUAUAUUGCUAACUGUGCACGUAGGAGAAUCUACAUUAACACUGCAACCUUCAACUGCUGUGAUUUGCCAAUCACAGUUUUGGAAGUGAUACUUCCUUGCUCUUUGUGCCCUGAGGGAAGUCUCUGUGCAUUACCCUGCUGCCUGCUUGAGUGAAUCCUUUAUAGCAGAAUAAACCUGACCAUGAGAAGCAACGAAUGUUUUCAAGCCAAACACCCAUAAAAAGACUUGUGUUUGUAGCGGGAGUUUCACUCCAGAGAUCCCACGUUAUUCUCCUUAUACUUUUAUCCAGAAGCUACCCUGUUGUGACCAGUCUUUUUCAGAGUACCCCAGAGACUGUCUUGUGAUUGCCAAGCCACUCUCCUUCAUAUUUGAAAAGUUCUGGAGUCAGGUGAAGUUCCUGGUGACUGGAAAAAGGGAAACAUCACUCCCAUUUUUAAAAAGAUAGAAAGGAGACCUGGGGAACUACAGACCAAUGAGCCUCACCUCUGUGCCUGGCAAGAUCAUGGAACAGAUCCUCCUGGAAGCAGUGUCGAGGCACAUGCAAGACAAGGUGAUCUGAGACAGCCAGCAUGGCUUCACCAAGGCAAAUAGUACCUGACCAAUCUGGUGGCCUUCAAUGUUGUAGUGACUGCAUCAGUCAACAAGGGAGGCCCAACCAAUGUCAUCUACCUGGACUUCUGUAAAGCCUUGGAGACAGUCCCACGUGAUAUCCUUAUCUCUAAAUUGGAGAGAGAUGGAUCCAAAGGGUGGACUGUUCAUUGCAUAAGGAAUUGACUGCAUGGUUUCAGCCAGAGAUUUGCAGUCAAAGAUUCUAUGUCCAGGUGGAGGCCAGUGACUUGUGUUGUCCCUCAGGGAUCCAUUCUGAGACCAGUGCCCAUGUGAGCCUAAUGAGGUUCAAGAAGUCUAAGUGCAAGGUGCUGCACAUGAGUCAAGGCAAUCACGUUAGUACAGAUUGGGAGAAGAGCUCAUUGAGAGCAGCCCUGCGGAGAAGGACUUGGGGAUUCUGGUGGACAAAAAAAGCUCGACAUGAGCCAGCAGUGUGCAAAUGCAGCCCUGAAGGCCAACUGCAUCCUAGGCUGCAUCAACAGAGGUGUGGCCAGCAGGUCGAGGCAGGUGAUUGUCCCCCUCUGCUCUGCCCUUGUGAGGCCCCACCUGAAGUGCUGCAUCCAGGUCUGGGGCCCCCAGCACAAGAAGGAUGUCGAUCUGCUAGAAUGGGUCCAGAGGAGGGCCACAAAGAUGAUCAAGGGUCUGGAGCACCACUCCUACAAAGAAAGGCAGAGAGAGAGCUGGGGCUGUUCAGCCUGGAGAAGUCUCUGGGGAGACCUCGUUGCAACCUUUCAGUACACAAAGGGAACUUAUAGAAAAUAUGGAGAGUGACUUCUUACACAGGCAGAUAGUGAUAGGACAAGGGGGAAUGGUUUUAAACUAAAAGAGGGAAAAUUUAGGCUAGAAAUUGGAAGGAAAUUCUUUACUCAAAGUGUGGUGAGGCACUGGAACAUGUUGCCCAGAGAGGUUGUGGAUCCCCCAUCCCUGGAGGUGUUCAAGACCAGAUUGGAUGAAGCCCUGGGCAACCUGAUCUAGUGGGUGGCAUUCCUGCCCAUGGCAGGGGGUUUGGAAUUAGAUGGUCUUUAAGGUCCCUUCCAAACCAAGGCAUUCUUUGAUUCUAUGAUAACAUACAAUGUGGAGCUGUGCUGUCAGCCUCAGAGAAUCAAGCAGCAAUGACUCCAGCACCUUGCUGAUACACAGUCAUCUCCUGUGAUGCCACCAUUACUCAGAGAAUCUGAAAUGUGCUAGUAGAGUUUUUUCUAAAACUUAAAAAUGAGGAAAAUGGUUUGAGUAUUACUUGGCUCAGUCAAAUCAGGUGAAAGACUGAGGGCUGCUGGAUGAGGGAUGAUUUCUGUGGAAAUCAGAACAUGGAUGUCAAAGGUUCAGUUGUCUUUCUGUGUUUCAGGUUCCUGAACUCUGUGCUUCCCCUGCUCCUAACAGCAUAAGUGAGGGCAGUCUCAGCUAGUGCUUCUUGAUAUUCACAUUUUCUGUUUGGAGGAUGCAGCCCACAUCAGUCAAAGUUUGUGAGUGACAGGGAAAUUUGCAUAGGAAACAUUAGCCUUCUGUUCUGCUGUAUCUGGUUAAAAAAGGCUCCCCUUCUGAUUGUCAUUCCAGAGGUCCACAGCUUUCUGGGUAGAUAAGGGACUAUAUUUAUUAUCAUUUGCCUUCUCCCGUGACUCAGCAGCAAGCAGGCUGAGGUUCACAAACAAAAGUAAAAUGACAUCAGCAGUUGUCAAAUAGAAAAAGGCAAAGCUGACAAAGGCAUUUUGCUUUAAUGCUUCUAAGCGGAUAUUGCAAAUCACAAGAGUGUACACACACACAGACACCACACACGCAGUGGAAUAGUCAUAAUGAAAUUCUAAAACACUUGCCAGCAUCUACAUCUUUGAGAAGGAAAAGUCAGUGCCUGGCUCAAUAGCAACUUGUAUUUUAACUUCAGGUGAUCAAAGAUAAGCACAGCUGCUGCAGCAGCAGCAGCUGAGCUAGUAAGCCCUCACUCUGGGAUGAAGCCAACAGGUGGCAGCCAGGCAGGCAGCACUGACUUGUGGUCUCAGCAUUGUAAAAGAUCCCAACAGCCCAUGGAGAUGCUGUAGGCAAUGCCAGUCAUGCCAGGCACUUCUCUGCUGUCUCAGCUAGUUUCUGUAUAGCUAAUACUGAGGGAACAGGAACGGAUAAAAGCAGGAUAGCCAUGGAUCUCUUACUGCACUACCCUGCCUAUGAUCACUGAGCUCCUACCAAUGAAUGAGCCACCUACAUUCCCACAUUAUCUGUACAUAUGUCCAUUGAUGUUAAGCUUGGAGGGGGACCAUAUGCCAACUUUUUUUUGGAACAGCACUAGAAGCACUGUUGAGCAUACUGCCCUGCAAACCACUGGGUACAGUCAAAAAAAUUCAGUAAGUUCCUCACCAGUGACUGAUAACUUUCUUUGUCUCUCUCCUCUUUUCUGUGACUUAGAGAAUCAAGAGUCUAAUCCUACCCACAGAUCAGCUUUUUGCUAUAAUCUGGUACCUUGUUUGGCAUUUCCUUAUCUGAUCAGCUCACCAAUCAUUUUCCCUUUUACAGAAGGAUAAGUAAAUGAGGGCCACUCAGAGGAGAAUUGAUCAGAGUUUGUUCCUCAAACAGAGCCUAAUCAAACCUUUUCCUCAGGCUCAGCGGAUGUCACUCAGCUGUAAAAGACAGGUGCUCAGAUACCUCCGUCCUUUUCUCUCCUCUUUCCUCCAAGCUCUAACCAGAAAGAAUAUAGGCCUGAAACACAGCAAGAAAGACUUUCACUAUGGGCUUGUAUUACUUCACCUCUUCUUCCUUUUCUGCUGUUCCUAGAUUCCCUUGAUCAAUAGUCUCUUGAUCUUUCAGUUCUGAAAGUCAUCUCACCAAGUUUCAAACAUAUCCAAUCAUUCAUAACUUCUCCCUUAGAGAAAUGUGUCAAGUUCCUUUUGCAUGUUUAUUUCUGAUCCUCUUUGCAGAUAUGUUUAAGAGCUUCCCUACAUUAACAUUCCUACCUUUCACCUUGCUUCAGAAGAUUCCAUUUUCUUUUCAAAAAUAAAUGCCAGAUUUGUUUUUGAUCUCAGGAGUAAAAGUAUCUUUUUACCUCUGUUUUUGCAUCGCUGGGAGUAAGCAUUGUCAGUUUUGAAGCCUCCAGCUCACAAUAUUUUCUGCUUGAACAGAAGUUGAAGCAAAGCCCAAGCAUGUAUUUUUCACCUUAGAUAAUAUGCCAGUUCUCUAAGGGCAAGAGGCUCAACAGGUAAAUUGACAUGGAUUUUACAGAAAUCAGCUAUCUAAGUUACACCAGCUGAGACUCUAGCUGGAGAAAUCAAAAGCAAUCCUCUCUGGAAAGUAAGUACAGUCAUCAGUUGUCUUUAAGUUGCUUCUCCUGUCAGUGCACACUUUCAGCUUGAGGAUGUCAAAGACUGUUUUCCUGCAUCUUCUCCAUAUUUUAUGUGGUCCCCUUUGCACUUUUGUGUGUAAACUCUUUUAUCCAACGCUUUCAUUUCUCUUGCACCCUGACUCUCAGACUCCGUGCUGAGGUGAUCUCUGUAUGAAAACUGGCUGACAUAUCCUAUGCCUGUCACUGAGCAAGACCGAGUGGCCUCUUUUUCCACUCAAUUGGUUUUUCAUACUUCAACGGCUGUCCUGUUCAUUUUUGGAGGGCCCUCUAUCACCGCUUCAUUGCCUACACAAAAUAGCUUCUGCAGUUGACUAGGCUAAAAGGAUCCAUGCCCAUUUCUCUUCCAGGUUGCCUGAUACUCAUGCUUUUUUCUUCCCUGUUCGUUCAACAAUGACUGAAUUAAGUGGUAGGAGAUUGAAAGUCUCAACAAAUAAACAUAAAAUGCUGACUCCUUGAUUUCAUUAUGUCAUCCAUGAUGAACAAUGGUCUCCUCUUGUGCAGGUGGAAGGGUGUGCAUCAGUGCUGCUGCCUGGCCAGAGCUUUGUUGGGAAAUGCAGUUUGGUUGAGGGGACAGGUUCCCGAUUAAGAACAAAAACAAGAGAGACUUGAGACCUUUGGAGUGCUGUGAUCAUCCUUCAGAAUUGAAGCAUUUCGUCUACUUUCUUGGUUUGACAGCUCAGUUUUUCAACAAAAAAAAAUUGAAACAUUCUGUGGAAAGCAGAAGCCUUUCAUGAAAAAUUCACUGCCACUGAAAGCUCCACUCUGUUGCAAAACAGUGUGAUGUAAAAUUUUUUCCAUUGUUUCCAAUUAGGAGAAAUGUAGAGCUCCCUCUGUACUAUGCCAGGGCUCAGAAGGCAAGCUAGCAGUUGUCCUACAUCUUCAGUAGCAAUUAAUGUCUGAUUGGCCUAUGUGCUCAAGAUACAGGUUUGAGAGGAGAGAAAACAAGGCCUAGUUUGCUGAAAGUCCCCUUGAAUUCUCCUCAGAAAUCUUAAAACUUACCAUUCUUUAGACCAAGGUUGAAGCUUUUUCUUCUUGCUUGUUUCUUCCUUAGCUGUUUAUGUUGCACAAAGCCCUAUGUUGUGUUCUCCCAAUUUUUUGGAAAGUUUUCAGACUUAUUUCCAAUUCUGACCUUGCACGAGGCAUGUCACUUGUUUAAGUGAUAUUUUUCACUAAGAUGUAUUAAAGAAUGCAAAUGCCUUUAAGCUUGUGUCUUUAAACAACAACAGCAAAAAAGUAAUAAUUAAUGAGCAGAUAUGCCAUAAAAUAAUAAUAAUCACCAGUCCUGUAAGAGGACUUUCUCUCUCUAAGAGAUAAAACUGAGGCUGCCAGUUGCUGCAUGGACAGUCUCCAUGAAACUUUUGUUUCAUCUGACCCUCAGUGUUCAUUUUAAGCCUGAUUUGGCUAGCUGGUUUGGGCAAUUUUAAUUGCACAUGCAUUAGUCCUCCUUCAGCAGAAUAUGUGCCUUUUAAUCUCCAGGACUUCCAGACUCAGUGGGCACUUUAUCCCUGCGCAUCUCCUCUGUUUUGUGCCUGAUUACUGGAAUAUGGGCAACAUUUGGUGGAGGUGGCACAUAAACCCUGUGGCUGCUUUCAUCAUUCUGUCAAAGGGAGGGAAAUAAUCAAAGAGCUGCAGCAAGAAAACAAAUGGCCAAAUAGCUGUUGAAGCAGGAGGUUCCAGCUUGUUGGAGCUCAGCUUAUUACAGGCCAUAUGCCUGAGUGGCUCCUCUCACUGAGUGCUGCAACCAGCUAUGGAAACAAGUGUGCAAGCGCCUGCGGUUCAUGAGGUCUGGUUUGCUAUAGCUGUGUGUAACUGCCGAGAGCACAGAAAGUAAAAACCCGAAGAGGCUGUGGGGCUAAUUGAAGAGAGAAUUCUUUAGGAAAUAAAAAAUUAAAAUACAAAUUCCCAAAAUAUUUAUGUAAAGAUGUUAAUGGGCAAUAAUAAUUUGUUUUCCAAGCUCACAGCAGAUGCUGUUCUUUUAGUACACAGACUAUAUUCAUAAAUGAUGCAACUUAACAUAAGUGGUGAAAAAAUGAUACGCUCUUCUACUUUAAGUAUCAUGGGGUUGAAUUAAUAGUUACUCUUGACAGUUACCACUAUCUCACACCCUUUCAGCUAUGCCCAAUGUUUUCAGGGCUGGCUCUGCCACAUGAUUCAGCUCCUGAAUGAUGGGUGUGUUAAAGAAGCUGAAUGACAGAGCUGGAAGGAAACAGGAAGGGUGGAAGAAGUCUGUUUUCAACCUGGUGUUUCAUUUCUCUUUACUCAGCAGAGCUCCUCCCAAGAGCACUGAAGGCGCAGGCCCCAGCCAACUACUUCAUUUGGGUGUUAGGAAAUUGGAAUAAUCUAGCAAAAGCAAGUGACCAUCAGCAACCAAGAGACUGCUCUAUAGCUGCCUUACUGCCCAUCUUGUCUGUAAAGUUCUUUGUUUCUCACAGGGCUUAACUGCUUAAGGACUCAUUCUAGAAGACAUAUUCCUGCUAAAGCAGCUUCACUAAUUCAGAAAAAGUAUUCCUAGUGCAAAAUAUGAGACAUGCACAUUUAGUUAUUCAGGAGGAGGUACUCCACUGUAAAUUCAUACUCUGUCCUUAAUUCAAAUGGAUUUCCCUCAAGAAGGUAGUGCUUCUUCUCUCACCACUUCUUCUGUAUGUCUGUGGCCAGGCUAUACAGAUCCGUGGCCUUUUUCUCCGCCAGCCUGGGGUUAUGUCAUCUGUAUAGUAGUACUUCUUUACACGCAUAAUUCACAACACUAUACAUAAUUCAGUACAGCUGUGUCAGUACACCCACAUUUCUUAAAAAGGAUGAUGACAAGUUCUGUUUCAUUUUAGUUAUGCUCCCCGUCUAUGUGACAGCCUCCUCUCCUACCUUUGAAACCUUUCACCUUUAUUUUCCAAUUUGGUUGCCUUUUGCCUCCCCUUUUGUAUUGCCCACUUGAAAGCUUUUUUACUUGGGUUGUGUGUCUUGCUUAACUUUCCUAGCAGCACAUCAAGUAAGGAUGUACUUUAUAACUAAAAUGAGCUGUGAUGACAGCUCUGGUCUGUCUCUGUUUUGGUUUGAAAUGCUGUUACAUGAAAUGCUAGGAAGGUGUCUAGACACAGUGCAGGGUAGGCACUGAAUACACAGUUAUCAGACACUACUAAUGCCUCAAUGUGAAUUGCUGUUGUUUGUGUCCCCCCCCUCCCCCACCCCCCCUUCCCAUGUUAGUUCAGAGGAAAAAUGUAUUGUGUGAUAGUGUUUUAACCUGCACAGGAUGGAUUUAACAGCCUUUCUCUUCUUGUAAGAAUAAACAAAACUAGACAUGGAAAAUCUGUUUCUUAAAAUUUAAAAAACUCAUCUUACCAAUUUUAUUAAAAUUUGCCAUUCUUUGCCUCUGUAUCACAUCAGGGUUCAUUAAUUAUCCUGCUGUCUCUGAACAUGGCUCCAAAGAACAGGGUGACCACUUUUUUUAAUAAAAUUGCAGAUUUACAAUUUUCCAGCUCAGUGAAUUGCUAGUGUUUAAAUAUAUUGAGAGGCCAGUGCCAGGCUGCUUCGCCUCCCUGUGCGGCAUUUUACUGAGAAGGGGAUGGUAGAAGGGUGUGUGAGGACAGGAAGAAAAGCUGUAGAGAAGAAAAAACAGGGCAGACAGACAUAAUGCUGGAACAAUCCUUCAAAAACAGAAGGCCUUAGAGUGCCUGGAGGGUCUUGCAGUUCAGGGGUGGCCCAGAUCACUUCCUCAACCGUCCUUUUGCUCCCGGGAGGGGGGAAAAAACAAUACUUAGAGGGGACGAAGUGUGUCUCUCCUGUAAGGUAUGGCCCUUUACUCCAGCAGUGAGGUGAGGAUCGAGUUGAUCUAUCGUCCUUCAGCCUUUACCCAUUGACUUGCUGGGGGAACAGGAGAAUAAGACACAAACUCUGCACUCUGUGUCUCAGAUGCAGCUAGGUUUCACAUUGGUAUGCACAGGUGCAGGAUCUGCUUGGGAUCUGGUUGGGAAGGGGAAAGAUGAGCCCACACAGGAUUUUCCUGCUGUUGUCUGAAAUUUAUUUAUUUUUUCCAUUUGCAGAAUUGUAAGUUCCUCUGGCAAUGGGGAAAACAGGCGGAAAAGGAGUGAGAGACAGGGUAAUGUGACUAAAAAAAUAAAAAAUAAAAAUGUUGAUGAUCUAAAUAAAAAUAUCAGAAGAAAGAAAGAUGAUGGGAGCUAGUGACAAAGACAGAGCCAAGGGUUUACGUCUUUGUGCCUGUAGCAAAAGCUGGCAUAUAACUAAGCAACCUCUUGUGGUGGCCUUGCUUGAGCAUGACAAACAGCCUUUCUUACAGACACAAAAUAAUAAAAUAUCCAGUUCCUAAAACUCAGCAUCUCUUCUCAGUGCUUGCAGUAACGCUCAGGAUCCCUAGGGCAUGUGGGGACUGCUGGCAUGAGACACUGCUGACAGAGGGAGCAGCACUGCAAUCUCCCACUAGCUGCUUCAGCAGAGACCAGGGAGACCAAGCUACAGGUGAGAAAGGACUUCAGGUACACGUAUCAUCUGCUGAGAACAGUGCCAGCUUAGUGCCCUGUUUUACACAUGGGUGGACUGGUCCAGGCACAUCCUACUUGCCUGGCCAUGAUGCUAGGGGUAGCAGGGCUACACCCAGCGCAAGCCCACUGCUGCAAACUCUCUCCUCCAUUCUGUUAAAAGUCUUGCAGAGACAGAAGAGGCCCAAAGGCCUUUAAAUAUUAGCUUCCUGAUUUCCCUGGCUCUCUCUUUUUGAAACAACUGCAGUUGUUGCAAGAGCAGCCAGGAGCCUUUCAAGGGACCCGCCGAGUCCCAUUUAUGCCUUCGUCAAGCAGUACUGUAUGAGGACUGGUUUUGGUGGCAGCUUUUGUCUGGGACUCAGGAGACCAGGAUACAAGUCUCACUUGGGAUACAAACUUUCUGUAAGAGUUCGGCAUGUGAGGCAGAAAUUGUGUCCUCUCACCAUAAAUGACUACAGUGUGCAUCCAAGCUGGUCAAUUCUGUCUCCCUUCAGAAGCAAGAAAUGAAGAGAAAUGGACGCUUCAAAAGCGCAGUGCAUCAGACCUACUUUGCUUCUAACUUAGGAUGAGAUAAAUGUCUGCCAGAGGGCACUGCUUCUUUCUGUUGUCUGGAAAGAGAGCCCAAGGGUGGCCAUAUUUGUACUAGGCAUCCAUGGCACAGAUGGAUACUUCUAUCUGAAUAAAUUGUGCUUGCAGCCUGCCCUCUGUUUUAGUUUGCUCUGUAUAAAGCAAAGGUGUCACAGUGGUUUUCCUUUUGCAGAGAUGCUGUGAAACUUAAAUCCUGUAAUGCCUGUGUGGCAUCUACAUGCAGAGGUGACCAAGGCAUGGGAGUGCCUGUCAUACCGUGAACACAAUGAGAUGCUGUUCCAAAGGCUGCCAGGGAGGAGUUCCUCUGUUUGUGGCACCUGUAUUCAAUACCACGUUUGUGAGAAACACAGGGUCUCACCUCCAUGGUCUCAACUACUUCCUGACUUGCUGGUAACAUGCACAUGUCGUGAAGAAGACGGUUUGCUGCAGCAGGGCAAAGGCUGCAGUGGAGUCUCAGCAUGUCCAGAUGCUGAAGGUCCUCAUCAGAAGUCCCAGCCAUACAUUAGCAGAAAGUAAAGGUACUGGGAAAUCAUUGGCAAGGGAGACAGUGGAAAGUGAACCUAAUGAAAAAUUAUGUUGUUAUUAUCAUUAUUAUUAUUUUAUUCCUUUUUAUUGAAACUACCUCACUUUUGAUUACAUUCAUCUCUAUUUCUAUCACACACACCAAAAAAAAAAAAAAAAGCACUAGGCAAUAUUAUAUGUAUUUUCAGUUUGUGUUUUAAGUAAGCACUGUGCUUACUGAAAAGCAAUUUUUAAAACAUUUCUUGUCCUUAUACAAGGAAACUGUGUUGAAAUCUUUUCUUCUUUAACACGUUAGUAAGAAAUGAAUUUUGCUACUUGCUUUGGUGGGA